AUCCCAUGAUGAGGACACUUACGAAGUAAUUUCUUGAAUCUUUUCCACACCUCGUACAAGGAUUCGUCAUCCAAUUGUUGAAAAAUGGUGAUCUCAUUUCACAACUU
rnacentral:snoRNA from 1 species